CUGCUACUUUACAUGUGGCCUAGGCUUUGCAUAUUUCCAUUGGGCGAGCUAGCUAGAUCCUCCUCCCUUAGAUAAGCCAGUGUUUUUAAGACAGAAUACUAUUUGCAUAGUGGACAAUAAUAUCUUAAAAGAACUGAGUAGGAUGAAAAGAAUUUGGUAGAAAGCAGGUUUGAGGAGCACAUUGGAGGUUGGCAGGUUUCGAGGCUGCUUGAGAGGACUUGGGCUGAUCUGGGCUGGGCUUGGACGUGACCCUGGCACCCAGGCAGGUGGAUCCCAGCUGGGGCUUCCAUUCACGACUUUCUGGUCCCUGGCAGGACAGAGCGGGAUGCUACCAGCUGGUCCAAAGGGAAGUUCCGGGAGCUCCUGGUGGGCAUCGUUGUGGAAAAUGACGUUGGCCGCGGCGAGAUCAGCGAGUUGAAGCAGGUGGAAGGGGAGGCUUCGUGCAGCAGCCGCAAAGGAAAGCUGAUUUUCUUCUAUGAGUGGAACAUCAAACUGGACUGGAAAGGCAUUGUUAAAGAAUCUGGAGUGUGAAGCACAAGGGAUUGAUUGAAAUACCCAGUCUUUCUGAGGAAAAUGAAGUAUCUGACACAGAGAAUUUACAACGGGAAUGAUUUUACCAACGAAAGCUAUGGCAACCCAGGAAUUGACUGUCAAAAGAAAACUGAGUGAGAAUACCCUGCAGGUUCAGGCUUCAUCUCCAGUGGCACUGGGUGUAAGGAUUCCCACUGUGGCUCUUCACAUGAUGGAACUGUUUGACACAACUGUAGAGCAGCUCUAUAGCAUCUUCACUGUAAAGGAUGUAAGUAACUCCCUAAGCUAGCAUGUUAAAUGCUGACAUGGGGAGAAAAUAUAUCACAAAGAACAGGAGCUGGUUUUUGGUUUUCCUUGUGGCUGUGUUUUUGAUUGAAGGGAUGUGGGAUGGUGGUGACAGAAGUCUGAGCAUAGUUUCUGAAUAAUUGGAGGGGAGAUGGGCAUUCUUUGGGACUAUGUCCGCAUUACAUUGAGUUUUCUCCCUCUAGGAAGAGAAAGUUUGUGUUUUAUUUUCUGUAAGUAAAAGCUACAUGUUUAGGAUUUUUAAACUCUAGUAAUUGUUAUAUUUUGUAUUUCAUAAUUAGAUUAAAAUAUGUGUUAGUGUGUACUGGAAUAACAUGUUUUAUUUGGUUAGUUGGUGCAAAAGUUUUCUAAAUCUACUGCUGUAUUAGAAGCUGAAAAGGGAGGGAAAUUCCAGAUGUUUGAUGGGAACAUCACUGGUGAAUAUCUAGAAUUGGUAAGUAGACUCAAGGUUGAAGAAGUAAGGUGGGAUUAACUUUUACUUAAUAUUACUUUUUGUAUAUGCUGUUUUUAGCACCGAAAUCACGAGGGUCUGUGUUGCCUCACCCUUAACAGCAGCCCUCUGUUCUGGUUACUAUUACUGUACUUAAAACAUUAUUACAUAUUCCUGCUGUCCUUGAUGUUACUGCUGUUCUGAGACAUUUUGGCAAUAAAGACAAUUAUCAAUGGUGCUGAUGUAUAAACUGGAAGAAGGACUGUAUGUUGUUGAUUCUUCUAGUACUUAGGAGUUUCAAUGAAAGGAUUUUUCUGUGUUGUAUUGUGGGAAGUCUUAAAAGAUUUUCAGUGGAAUUUCCCCUCUUUUCAGUUAACAAGUAAGAUCAUCAUGAAAUGGAGAUGCAGGAACUGGCCAGAAGAACACUAUGCCACGGUUGCACUGAAUUUUGUGCCUACUCUAGGGCAAACAGAAUUACAAUUGGACUGUAAAGGAGUUCCUAUCUGUAAAGAAGAGAACAUGAAAUUCUGUUGGCAGAAGCAGCAUUUUGAAGAAAUAAAAGGUUUACUGCAGCUGACCCCCCUAAAUGGUUGAAUUAAAAUUUUAUAAGGCAUUACUUUUUGUAAGCAGAAAAAGUGUCACAUUUACCUUUUCCCUAUCUUUUUUUAAAAAGGACUGUCAUUUUAUAUUGGAUGAAAUCUGUGAACGUAUACAC
rnacentral:sRNA from 1 species